CUUCUGUCCAACUAAGAAGGUUCAGAGGACCACGGGAAGAACAGAUCUGAGAGGUCUCGUAGCAGGUUCACACAGACUCUUAAUAGGUCAGCAAGGUGCAGAGAAAAAUAGCCUGGACCUGCACAGAAGAGCUGACACCAAGCAAGCAACUGGCUGCAUCCACUGAAUUGUUGAAGGAGAGAAAACAGGAAGGACAGAGAUAUGAGUAACAAAGUAUCUACUAAAAAUGAGUAAGAGACAAGAAGAAACAUCGCCAUCGUGCAGAGGGAAAGAAUGCCUAAACCGGUGCACUCUUCAUGGGAGGAUUCAAAUGAAAACCAAGGACAGCUUCUAUUUAUCAGACUUGAUAAGCAGUUGAAGAUACGUUUCAUAUAUGGCCGGUGGCAGUGCAAUUUGUUCCAGCUCCCAUGGAAAAAUAAGGUUCUGUCUUACCAAAAAUGAAGGGCCAGGGAUUUAACUCAGUGGUUCCAGCACCUGCCUUGCAAGCACAAGGUUCCAAGUUCAAUCCCCAGUACCAAAAAAAAAUAAAAAUAAAAAUAAAAGUUCACAUACUCUUUGACUAAAACAGCUACUGUUGAUAAACUCACCACUGAUUCAAUGAGGCAUGAACAUGAUUAUUUACUAGCAUGUGGUUUGUCAUGGGAAUAGAGAC